AACAUGUAGGUUAUUUUGCAGCUAGUUUCUGCAAUUCAACACCCGACCAUCUGUGGCAUUUAAUUUUGUCGGUGGAUGGGGGAGAUCAAUUCGGCAUAGAUUUGUGCCAAGAUUAAUUUUUACAUGGAGAGUGUUAAAUGCAUUCAUCCAAGAUGAUUAUCGUGGAGCGAUGCUGUUUGCUCCGUUAUGUUUUGGACGACUCUUGGCAAUGGAUAUCUUGGCUCUUGCAUCGAUGAAGAACAUAGCGAAAUGUGAUGCAUGGUGCGAAUUGCAGAAUCCCGUGAACCAUCGAGGUUUUGAAUGCAAGUUGCGUCAAAGGCCAGCAGGUCAAGGGCACGUCUGCUUGGGAGUCAAAAUAACUCAUCGCUCCGUUUAACAUCAAGCCAUCAAAAUAAUUUGAUGAUUUUUUUAUUUCACGGAUGCGCAGAAUGUCCUGUCGCAUGCAUGGUGCAGCAGGAUUAAGAUUUGUUUGGUUUCUUCCUUGCAAUGAUCGAUAAUUGGGUGGUGGUAGCUCUAGUAUGACCUUCGAAAUUAUAUGAUUGUUUAAGGAAGAGGGUUGCUCAAAAAUCUUGACAAUUGCAACGCUGUUUGCGCAAAAUGGAAAUGCGACCCCAAGACAGGUGAGGUAACCCGCUGAGUUUAAGCAUAUAAAUAA
rnacentral:rRNA from 1 species